GGUGAACGCUGGCGGCGUGCUUAAGACAUGCAAGUCGAACGGCAGUCUUCGGACUGUAGUGGCGCACGGGUGAGUAACGCGUAACUGACCUACCCCAAGGUCGCGGAUAACGAUUCGAAAGAAUCGCUAAUACGUGAUGUGCUGUCAGAUUGUGUUCUGCCAGUAAAGAUUGAUCGCUUUGGGAUGGGGUUGCGUUCCAUCAGCUAGUUGGUGGGGCAAAGGCCCACCAAGGCGACGACGGAUAGCCGGCCUGAGAGGGUGGCCGGCCACAGGGGCACUGAGACACGGGUCCCACUCCUACGGGAGGCAGCAGUUAGGAAUCUUCCACAAUGGGCGAAAGCCUGAUGGAGCGACGCCGCGUGAGGGAUGAAGGUCUUCGGAUCGUAAACCUCUGAAUCAGGGACGAAAGACACUUCGGUGGGAUGACGGUACCUGAGUAAUAGCACCGGCUAACUCCGUGCCAGCCGCCGCGGUAACAC
rnacentral:rRNA from 1 species